CCUACGGGAGGCAGCAGUAGGGAAUCUUCCACAAUGGACGAAAGUCUGAUGGAGCAACGCCGCGUGAGUGAAGAAGGGUUUCGGCUCGUAAAGCUCUGCUGGUAGUGAAGAAAGAUAGAGGUAGUCACUGGCAGUCAUUUGACGGUAACUACUUAGAAAGUCACGGCUAACUACGUGCCAGCAGCCGCGGGAAUACGUAGGUGGCAAGCGUUGUCCGGAUUUAUUGGGCGUAAAGCGAGUGCAGGCGGUAGGAUAAGUCUGAUGUGAAAGCCAUCGGCUCAACCGGAGAAUGGCAUCAGAGACGGUUGAGCUAGAGUGCAGAAGAGGAGAAUGGAACUCCAUGUGUAGCGGUGAAAUGCGUAGAUAUAAGGAGGAACACCAGUGGCGAAAGCGGCUCUCUGGUCUGCAACUGACGCUGAGGAUCGAAAGCAUGGGUAGCGAACGGGAUUAGAUACCCGGGUAGUC
rnacentral:rRNA from 1 species